UUUCACAUCUCCGUUCCGUGGGUUUCUGCCACACACAAACAAAAACCGAACUCUUUGCAAGCGAUCGUUUCUGGUCUGGGCGAACGCUGCUUACUGCUUCGUCCGUGCAGCACCAGCGAAAUGAAGCCUCAGGGUCGGGAGGGCCGAGGACACGGAUUGGAGUGAAGGGAUCGUGUCAGGAGAGGAGUGUGGAGCGAGGACACGAGCUUGUAAAAGGAGAGUGGGGCUCGGAACUGUGGCAGUGUCCUCGCCUCUCUUGCACAACCUGGAAGAGCCAUUCGCUUUCCAGCUGGUUCACGUGGAUGCUGUGAGGAUGAACUGGAAACGUCCGAGCUCCUUCAUGCAGAAUUAGAAACCAGGAAUCUUUCCUCACUGUGUUUUCAUCUUAAUCCUCAUGAUGGUUAGUGAGGUUUGCAACCUUCCACCUGCUCCUUGGGCAUCUUUAUGCUGCUGUGAUACUUAACCUUGAUUGUCAGCUUGCUAAGAUUUAGAAACUCCUGGGAAAUUAGCGGAGCACAUCUCUGAGAGGACGUGUCCGGUGGAUAUGAUCAGAUCUUGAGGGUUUUAAGGGAAUGAAUGGAUCAGUCUCCAGGUAUAUUCAACAGAUGAUGGUAUUUUGAGAGCGGGUCACAGUGUUCCGGUUGCUCUACUCUGUCUCCAAGUCCUGACAUUCUAUCUUCUACUUGAUCCAUUCUCCUAGGAAGGCUUUCUAUGGAGUCUUUUCAAUGUGUGGUAGACUCCCUUGAGACCCAGGGCCACCACAACCAGAAUGCAGCCACAGCACCCAGCCAUGCCCUAGCAUGUACAGAAACCUCGAGACAUCUCUGUAGCAAUCCCCUCUUUGCUUAGGAAGCCUUCCAGGAGGCCUUGAAGGUCGGACAAAGAGACCACCACUCAGUUUAGUCUCCACCUAAGAGCUACGUGUGACCUUGCAAUACUCCCCAAGCCCUCCUUGACAAUAAAAGCCAUUUAAACCCACACAAUGGGUUUAAAGUAGCCCUUAAAAUAUAUGUUCCCAAACAGAUCUCUGUCUGGAUAGGAUCUGGUCUGGUUCUUUCCACCAGGACUUGAA